rnacentral:rRNA from 1 species
AGGGAAACCGAGUCUUAACUGGGCGUUAAGUUGCAGGGUAUAGACCCGAAACCCGGUGAUCUAGCCAUGGGCAGGUUGAAGGUUGGGUAACACUAACUGGAGGACCGAACCGACUAAUGUUGAAAAAUUAGCGGAUGACUUGUGGCUGGGGGUGAAAGGCCAAUCAAACCGGGAGAUAGCUGGUUCUCCCCGAAAGCUAUUUAGGUAGCGCCUCGUGAACUCAUCUUCGGGGGUAGAGCACUGUUUCGGCUAGGGGGUCAUCCCGACUUACCAACCCGAUGCAAACUGCGAAUACCGAAGAAUGUUAUCACGGGAGACACACGGCGGGUGCUAACGUCCGUCGUGAAGAGGGAAACAACCCAGACCGCCAGCUAAGGUCCCAAAGUCACAGUUAAGUGGGAAACGAUGUGGGAAGGCUCAGACAGCCAGGAUGUUGGCUUAGAAGCAGCCAUCAUUUAAAGAAAGCGUAAUAGCUCACUGGUCGAGUCGGCCUGCGCGGAAGAUGUAACGGGGCUAAACUGUGCACCGAAGCUGCGGCAGCGACGCUUAUGCGUUGUUGGGUAGGGGAGCGUUCUGUAAGCCUGCGAAGGUGUCCUGUGAGGGAUGCUGGAGGUAUCAGAAGUGCGAAUGCUGACAUAAGUAACGAUAAUGCGGGUGAAAAGCCCGCUCGCCGGAAGACCAAGGGUUCCUGUCCAACGUUAAUCGGGGCAGGGUGAGUCGACCCCUAAGGCGAGGCCGAAAGGCGUAGUCGAUGGGAAACGGGUUAAUAUUCCCGUACUUGGUGUUACUGCGAAGGGGGGACGGAGAAGGCUAUGUUGGCCGGGCGACGGUUGUCCCGGUUUAAGCGUGUAGGCUGGUUUUCCAGGCAAAUC